GACGAACGCUGGCGGCGUGCUUAACACAUGCAAGUCGAACGGAAAGGCCUCUUUCGGGGGGUACUCGAGUGGCGAACGGGUGAGUAACACGUGAGUAACCUGCCCUUGACUUUGGGAUAACUUCAGGAAACUGGGGCUAAUACCGGAUAGGAGCUCCUGCUGCAUGGUGGGGGUUGGAAAGUUUCGGCGGUUGGGGAUGGACUCGCGGCUUAUCAGCUUGUUGGUGGGGUAGUGGCUUACCAAGGCUUUGACGGGUAGCCGGCCUGAGAGGGUGACCGGCCACAUUGGGACUGAGAUACGGCCCAGACGCCUACGGGAGGCAGCAGUGGGGAAGAUUGCACAAGGGGUGGAAGCCUGAUGCAGCAACGCCGUGUGCGGGAGGACGGCCUUCGGGUUGUAAACCGCUUUCGCUCAUGACGAAGCUUUGUGUGACGGUAGUGGGUAAAGAAGCACCGGCUAACUACGUG
rnacentral:rRNA from 1 species